CCUACGGGUGGCAGCAGUGAGGAAUAUUGGUCAAUGGACGAGAGUCUGAACCAGCCAAGUAGCGUGAAGGAUGACUGCCCUAUGGGUUGUAAACUUCUUUUAUAUGGGAAUAAAAUGUUCCACGUGUGGGAUUUUGUAUGUACCAUAUGAAUAAGGAUCGGCUAACUCCGUGCCAGCAGCCGCGGUAAUACGGAGGAUCCGAGCGUUAUCCGGAUUUAUUGGGUUUAAAGGGAGCGUAGGUGGAUUGUUAAGGCAGUUGUGAAAGUUUGGGGCUCAACCGUAAAAUUGCAGUUGAAACUGGCAGUCUUGAGUACAGUAGAGGUGGGCGGAAUUCGUGGUGUAGCGGUGAAAUGCUUAGAUAUCACGAAGAACUCCGAUUGCGAAGGCAGUUCACUGGACUGCAACUGACACUGAGGCACGAAAGUGUGGGUAUCAAACAGGAUUAGAUACCCUGGUAGUC
rnacentral:rRNA from 1 species